rnacentral:lncRNA from 1 species
CACUUAAGAACUUUUCUGCAAAGGAGCCAGAGACUCUACACACUAAGGCACCAGGGUGCAACACUCCAGCCCUAAUAAGCCAGAACUAAGGAGAAGUAGACUCUGAGUACAGCUCAAUUGAUCUCACCAAAAACAGCGAUCUGAUCAAGUCAUCAUGCCAUAAGACCUUCAGGGUCUCCAUCCUCUGGUCACAGCAUACUCUCGAGCUCCUCUUCACCUUCUGCUCUACCAGAUACCCACAUGCCGGCAGUGGGUGAGCAGAGGGCCACACUGCCAUUCUCACUGAGAUAGCUGUUUGUUGUGGAGGACUGUCCUAUGCAUAUAUUCCACCAAAAAAAAUGUAUACACACUUCAGGAAAAGAAAAAUGGCAUGAUGUUUUUCUACAGAUAUCAUUGCCUUUGCCUGAGGACCCCUAGAGGAUGUCAUAUAUCACAGAAAGGCCACUACACUGCCAGCCCUUCGAGAAGAAAUUGAAAAUGCACGUGCAGCCAUCUCAAUGACCAAGGUUACCCAAGCAGUGG